rnacentral:rRNA from 1 species
UGAGGAAUAUUGGUCAAUGGGCGAGAGCCUGAACCAGCCAAGUAGCGUGCAGGACGACGGCCCUAUGGGUUGUAAACUGCUUUUAUGUGGGGAUAAAGUGCGUGACGUGUCAUGCGUUGCAGGUACCAUAUGAAUAAGGACCGGCUAAUUCCGUGCCAGCAGCCGCGGUAAUACGGAAGGUUCGGGCGUUAUCCGGAUUUAUUGGGUUUAAAGGGAGCGUAGGCCGUUUGGUAAGCGUGUUGUGAAAUGUAGGAGCUCAACUUCUAGAUUGCAGCGCGAACUGUCAGACUUGAGUGCGCACAACGUAGGCGGAAUUCAUGGUGUAGCGGUGAAAUGCUUAGAUAUCAUGAGGAACUCCGAUUGCGAAGGCAGCUUACGGGAGCGCAACUGACGCUGAAGCUCGAAGGUGCGGGUAUCGAACAGG